GGGCAGAUGGUAGGCUUGCCAGCUGAGUGGUGCGCACACAGGAUGAGAUUGCAGCUUUCAGUGGACAGAUUUGCACGUUAUGGACAUUUAGAUUGCAUAAAAACUGUCAGAACUAUAAAUCUGAGACUUUAAGGAUAUACUAUCCUUCAGCUAAAGAUGAUUUCAACAUACAUGAGCAAUUUCAGUUGUGUUUUCUAAUUUUAUCAUUUAAAAAAUGAUGCUGCUGAAUAGAUUUAUUCAUACAUUGCUCUUUCCUUUCACUAGUAGUACUUCUUUAGGUUAAAUCUCUAGUAGAUUUACCCUAUUAAGUGACACAAAUCUUUUAUAGUACUUGAUGUAAUUGCCAAAUUGUUGUUUAAAGCUCCAGUAAUAAACCGAUUCACAAGGCGUGCCUCAGUAUGUGCGGAAGCUUAUAAUCCUGAUGAAGAAGAAGAUGAUGCAGAGUCCAGGAUUAUACAUCCAAAAACUGAUGAUCAAAGAAAUAGGUUGCAAGAGGCUUGCAAAGACAUCCUGCUGUUUAAGAAUCUGGAUCCGGAGCAGAUGUCUCAAGUAUUAGAUGCCAUGUUUGAAAAACUGGUCAAAGAUGGGGAGCAUGUAAUUGAUCAAGGUGACGAUGGUGACAACUUUUAUGUAAUUGAUAG
rnacentral:sRNA from 1 species